GAUGAACGCUAGCGGCAGGCUUAAUACAUGCAAGUCGAGCGGUGCAGUUUGAAGCUUCGGUGGAAAGCUGCAUAGCGGCGGACGGGUGAGGAAAACGUAGGAACGUGCCCCUUGGAGUUGGAUAGCCACGGGAAACUGUGGGUAAACCGACAUAGACUCGAGAGAGUAAAGGCCGAAAGGCGCCAAGGGAGCGGCCUGCGGCCCAUCAGGUAGUUGGUAGUGUAAAGGACUACCAAGCCGACGACGGGUAGCCGGUCUGAGAGGAUGGCCGGCCACAAGGGCACUGAGACACGGCCCAGACUCCUACGGGGGGCAGCAGUAGGGAAUUUUCGGCAAUGGGCGAAAGCCUGACCGAGCGACGCCGCGUGAGGGACGAAGGCCUUCGGUUGUAAACCUCUGUCUGGGGGAGUGAGAACGGACGGUACCCCCGGACGGAAGCCCGGCUAACUACGUG
rnacentral:rRNA from 1 species